rnacentral:rRNA from 1 species
UACAUGGGGUGCAAACGUUGCUCGGAAUUAUUGGGCGUAAAGCGCACGUAGGCGGUUCGUUUAAGUCGGAUGUGAAAGCCCUCGGCUCAACUGAGGAAGUGCACCCGAAACUGGCGAGCUUGAGUACGAAAGAGGAUCGCGGAAUUCCCGGUGUAGAGGUGAAAUUCGUAGAUAUCGGGAGGAACACCGGUGGCGAAGGCGGCGAUCUGGGUCGAUACUGACGCUGAGGUGCGAAAGCGUGGGGAGCAAACGGG